UACGUAGGGUGCGAGCGUUGUCCGGAAUUAUUGGGCGUAAAGAGCUCGUAGGCGGCUUGUCGCGUCGGAUGUGAAAGCCCGGGGCUUAACUCCGGGUCUGCAUUCGAUACGGGCAGGCUAGAGUUCGGUAGGGGAGAUCGGAAUUCCUGGUGUAGCGGUGAAAUGCAUUGAGAUCGGAAAGAACACCAACGGCGAAAGCACUCUGCUGGGCCGACACUGACACUGAGAGACGAAAGCUAGGGGAGCAAACAGG
rnacentral:rRNA from 1 species